GAUGAACGCUGGCGGCGUGCCUAAUACAUGCAAGUCGAGCGAACAGAUGAGGAGCUUGCCCCUCUGACGUUAGCGGCGGACGGGUGAGUAACACGUGGAUAACCUACCUAUAAGACUGGGAUAACUUCGGGAAACCGGAGCUAAUACCGGAUAAUAUAUUGAACCGCAUGGUUCAAUAGUGAAAGACGGUUUUGCUGUCACUUAUAGACGGAUCCGCGCCGCAUUAGCUAGUUGGUAAGGUAACGGCUUACCAAGGCGACGAUGCGUAGCCGACCUGAGAGGGUGAUCGGCCACACUGGAACUGAGACACGGUCCAGACUCCUACGGGAGGCAGCAGUAGGGAAUCUUCGGCAAUGGGCGAAAGCCUGACGGAGCAACGCCGCGUGAGUGAUGAAGGUCUUCGGAUCGUAAAACUCUGUUAUUAGGGAAGAACAAAUGUGUAAGUAACUAUGCACGUCUUGACGGUACCUAAUCAGAAAGCCACGGCUAACUACGUG
rnacentral:rRNA from 1 species